rnacentral:rRNA from 1 species
CGACCUGUGUGCAAUGGGCGUGAGGAGUACGGGUUGUGCAAUGUGUAUCCGGAUUCACGGGGUUGAAUGGUGGCGUAUGCGUAAUGGGAAUUCCUGUGUGAAAUAGCCAAGCUUAACUUUGAAACUGCAGUGGAUACUAUAGUUCUUGAAUGUUGUGGAGGUUUGCGGAAUAUGUCAUGUAGCGGUGAAAUGCUUAGAUAUGACAUAGAACACCGAUUGCGAAGGCAGCAGGCUACACAAAUAUUGACGCUGAGGCACGAAAGCGUGGGGAUCAAACAGGAUUAGAUACCCGGGUAGUC